rnacentral:rRNA from 1 species
UUNUGAACUGGGUGACUAGAGUGUGUCAGAGGGAGGUAGAAUUNCACGUGUAGCAGUGAAAUGCGUAGAGAUGUGGAGGAAUACCGAUGGCGAAGGCAGCCUCCUGGGAUAACACUGACGUUCAUGCCCGAAAGCGUGGGUAGCAAACAGGAUUAGAUACCCNUGGUAGUCCACGCCCUAAACGAUGUCGAUUAGCUGUUGGGCAGCAUGACUGCUUAGUAGCGAAGCUAACGCGUGAAAUCGACCGCCUGGGGAGUACGGUCGCAAGAUUAAAACUCAAAGGAAUUGACGGGGACCCGCACAAGCGGUGGAUGAUGUGGAUUAAUUCGAUGCAACGCGAAGAACCUUACCUGGUCUUGACAUGUACGGAACCCUCCAGAGACGGAGGAGUGCCUUCGGGAGCCGUAACACAGGUGCUGCAUGGCUGUCGUCAGCUCGUGUCGUGAGAUGUUGGGUUAAGUCNNNCNACGAGCGCAACCCUUGUCAUUAGUUGCCAUCAUUAAGUUGGGCACUCUAAUGAGACUGCCGGUGACAAGCCGGAGGAAGGUGGGGAUGACGUCAAGUCCUCAUGGCCCUUAUGACCAGGGCUUCACACGUCAUACAAUGGUCGGUACAGAGGGUAGCCAAGCCGCGAGGCGGAGCCAAUCUCACAAAACCGAUCGUAGUCCGGAUUGCACUCUGCAACUCGAGUGCAUGAAGUCGGAAUCGCUAGUAAUCGCAGGUCAGCAUACUGCGGUGAAUACGUUCCCGGGUCUUGUNC